rnacentral:rRNA from 1 species
CGAACGGGUGAGUAACACGUGAGUAACCUGCCCUUGACUCUGGGAUAAGCGUUGGAAACGACGUCUAAUACCGGAUAUGACUUACGGACGCAUGUUCUGUGGGUGGAAAGAUUUUUCGGUUGGGGAUGGACUCGCGGCCUAUCAGCUUGUUGGUGAGGUAAUGGCUCACCAAGGCGACGACGGGUAGCCGGCCUGAGAGGGUGACCGGCCACACUGGGACUGAGACACGGCCCAG